CCAACUACGGAUCCAAACGAGAUAGGUCACCACUCCCACAAUUCGCUGCUAACAAAUCUGAAAGACCCAAUAAGACAACAAUUCACAUCUUCAAAGCUUAAAAGAAUAGAAAAGCUUCCCCUAAUUCACCAAACACAAUCACCUUACCUACUAAACGAGUAACGACAGAACCACACCGCUCUAAUGCUAACCAAAUCGUUCUAGUCCUUAACCUUCAUCAAUGAAACAGUCUUAACCUUCAUCAAUGAAAUAGUCAACCUAUCACCAAAAAUCCAUAAACCAAAUAACACCACAGUUACAAAACUUACCACCAAAGCGCAAAGGCAAAACGAAGAUGACAAAUUGCGGCAAUAAGGAUUUGAGAAGGAAAUGGACUACUAGAAAAACCAAAGCAGGGAGAGAAGAAAAUUUUCAGUAGUAGUCGACAACAAACAAAAAAAGGAGAAAAGAAAGGCCCGACGACACAAUCCCCAACCGUCCACCAUAAUCCCCUCAACCAUCGAAUUCAAACCUCACUCAAACUCUUCGGUCAAACUACAACACCCUCAUGGCACAAGCAGUAAAAAUAAAUCCCAUGUUUGCGCAAGGACUCAAACUCCAAACUUCCUGCUCAAUUGCACUUCACUUAACUACCAAACCAACAGAUCCAUUCUAACAUAUUUUACUAAUAUUUAUUUAUAAGCCUAUUGACUAGACUUGAACUUAAGACCUCCCAAACACUCCCAGAACACAUAACCACUAGAGCUAACAAAUAUUUAUGUCAUAAAUAUACAAAAAUAAAUAUAUAAGGGAUUUUUGGGACGUUACAUUAUCGGUACAAUAAAAUUUUAGCAGCAGUACUAUAAUAUUUAGUAACAACUUUUAACAUUGAUAAUACCCAUUUUUGUUCUAGUGUAACAAAAGAAAACUAGCAAGAAAACAAGGCACACCGGACUAUAUGCCAUUGAAAGUUACGAGUUAUCCCUAAAUGAAAGAAGAUGUUAUCACCUUAAAGAAAAAACAUGAAUCUAACAUUAAUCCCAUAUAAAGUACUAAAUUUAUGCGCAAAAUUAUAAGUUUGAAGUCAGUUUAAAAAGGUAAAAAGAAAAUCAAAAUUUAAGAAGAAAAAACAAAAGAAAAAAAGGGAUGGAAUAGGUGAUAUGAACCUUUCAGAAAACCAGAUAGAUAAAAAAAAAAGAAAUUAGAAAGGUGAGGGACCCGAGAAGGGAAUGGCAAUAAGUGAUGAAUGUAAUCAGUCCAAUAAUACAACAAAAUCUUGAUUUCUGACAAGUCAACCCAGUAAGUACUAGAAUACAACAAAGGUAGGGGACCCCUCGUUGACCUUCUCACCUCUUAAUCAUCCUUCAUAUACACCAUUACACAUUAUAUGUGCACAUCAACCAUUGCCAAACAUUUUAAUUUCAACUCAGAAUCUGUCUCACUUUUCCUCUAUCUUCUUUCCCUUUCCACAACAACAGCUCCAUGCAUCCCUACAUAUAUCACAUGCCUUCAUCAAAAUCAUAACCAUAAUCCAUAAUGCUUCCAAUGCUCAUCAUUACCAAUACCCAAACUUCUUUCUUAGUAAAUUUCAAGUCUUCUAUUAUUGAAAACCAACUAAUAUUUUUUAGAUUAUUAUUAUCGCUUUCUUUUCUUUUUCAUUCGUCCCUUGUCUUUUAGAUUUGUUAUGCUUGAUACCAUCCUAUUAGAUUUUUGCUAAUAAACUAAUGAUUUAAACUUUGCAUAAAGUCGUUAAUUUUUAUAUUUUUUGUCAAUUUAAUUUUUAUUUUUAUUUUGUUAAAUUUUGAUUCUUAACCUUUUAAAAAGAGUUUAAUUUGACUAUCAACUUUUUAAAAAAAAUCAAAUUGUUGUUUUAAAUUGAAAUACAGAUAAAAACAUUAAACUUUUACACAGAGCUGCCCACAUGACAAUUCAUGAUUACUC
rnacentral:lncRNA from 1 species